AGGUCAUGUGAAAUCUGAAAUAAAAUUCUAAUGCACUGGAUCCGCAGUUGAGCAUGCUUGAGUGAGAGUAGUACUAGGAUGGGUGACCUCCUGGAAAGUCCUUGUGUUGCACCUC
rfam:Lupinus angustifolius cultivar Tanjil contig_18596, whole genome shotgun sequence.